CGCAGUUGUUGUAACAAGUUUGGAACAAGCUGUUAACAAUUUGUAACAAGCUUGAUGGCAUUAUCAGACUUGUUACAAGGUUGUUCUAACAAGUCUGAUAAUAUCAACAAGGUUGUUACAAGUUGUUAACAGCUUGUUCCAAACUUGUUGACGACUUGCU
rnacentral:miRNA from 1 species